UAGGAAUAAGUAACACACUAUACACAACUGUCAAGUUACAUAGGCGCUCUGUAGAGUUACAUAGACGUUCUCUAGAAUUAUACAGAGCGCCUAUGUAAGAUAAACGCUUAGUAUAUUAAAUCUAUAGAGCGCCUAUCAAAGUUAACCGCUCUAUUUGAUACGUGCAAAAUUUUAACUAGACAAUAUAGAGCGCCUCUCUUGGUUAACCGUUCUAUUAGUUAAAAAAAAAAAAAAAAACCGUGUAUACCACUAAGUCACUAACCCUAACUUCUUUCCUCUCAAUCAAGCCGUCACUUCUCUAAUUUCUUAUUUCAUUCCACAUCUCCCUCCUCUAACCCUUACUCUUUCUCUGAGUUCUCUCUCCUCUAAGUUCUAACUUCAUCCCUCAAUUACACCAUGUUCUAUUGCCAUCAUCACCUCCAAGGGUCCAACCCGCAGUAGAUUAAAGCAAAUCAAAACCCUCGUUCAUCAAUUCAUCACCAUCAUGGAAGCCCCUUCAACCUUGGUUUGUCCGCGGUAGGUUGAUCUAAUUCUUUCCACAAACUAACACCGUCGAUCGAGUCGGAGAACCCUAAUUUUGUGUUCGAAUUUCGAUUUACAAAUGUUGCAAUAAAACUCAUUGAGAAGUGUAUAGAUGCAAUAAGUGUUGGUUCUUGGUUGUUGUUUUGAUUUUUGGGUGGUUAAUUCGUGAGCAGGGGUGUGGGUUGUGGCUGCUCUGAUUAAAGUGGUGGUUGUCUGAAUUGGAUAAAUUAUACGCGGGUGCAGAGGAGGUGGUUGUAUCGCUGAUUGGGGCGGUGCUCGGAGGUAUUGCUGGCUUUCGGAGUUAAAUUAAUCGUUAACAGCAGUGGUGGUCGUCUAAAAUUGUACUACCAUUAAAAUUGUUUUAUAAUUCAUUAUGGUGUUUUUAUUAAUUUUCCAUGUUUACUAUAGCUUAGUUGUAUCAAUAUUCCUUUUUUUUAAAUGUAAUCAAUAUUUCGUAUGAUUUUUUUAUUAAACGA